rnacentral:rRNA from 1 species
UUUCGCAAUGCCCGAAAGGGUGACGAAGCGACGCCGCGUGAGUGAGGAAGGCCUUCGGGUUGUAAAGCUCUGUCAGGAGUUAAGAAAUAUAAGUGUGUUAAUACCACAUUUAUUUGACGAAGGCUCCAAAGGAAGCCACGGCUAACUCUGCGCCAGCAGCCGCGGUAAUACAGAGGUGGCAAGCGUUGUUCGGAAUUAUUGGGCGUAAAGAGCACGUAGGUGGGUUUGUAAGUCAGAUGUGAAAGCCUUCUGUUCAACGGAAGAAUUGCAUCUGAAACUGCGAGUCUUGAGUGUAGGAGGGGAGAAUGGAACUUCUGGUGGAGCGGUGAAAUGCGUAGAUAUCAGAAGGAACGCCGGCGGCGAAAGCGAUUCUCUGGCCUAUUACUGACACUCAGUGUGCGAAAGCUAGGGGAGCAAACGGGAUUAGAUACCCCGGUAGUCCUAGCUGUAAACGAUGGGCACUAAGUAGAGGGGUUUUA